GAACGAAGCGAUUAGAAGGAAGUUUUCGGAUGGAAUUUUAAUUGACUGAGUGGCGGACGGGUGAGUAACGCGUGGGUAACCUGCCUCAUACAGGGGGAUAACAGUUAGAAAUGACUGCUAAUACCGCAUAAGCGCACAGGAUUGCAUGAUCCGGUGUGAAAAACUCCGGUGGUAUGAGAUGGACCCGCGUCUGAUUAGCUAGUUGGUGGGGUAACGGCCUACCAAGGCGACGAUCAGUAGCCGACCUGAGAGGGUGACCGGCCACAUUGGGACUGAGACACGGCCCAAACUCCUACGGGAGGCAGCAGUGGGGAAUAUUGCACAAUGGGGGAAACCCUGAUGCAGCAACGCCGCGUGAGUGAAGAAGUAUUUCGGUAUGUAAAGCUCUAUCAGCAGGGAAGAAAAUGACGGUACCUGAGUAAGAAGCCCCGGCUAACUACGUGCCAGCAGCCGCGGUAAUACGUAGGGGGCAAGCGUUAUCCGGAUUUACUGGGUGUAAAGGGAGCGUAGACGGCGAUGCAAGUCUGAAGUGAAAGCCCGGGGCUCAACCCCGGGACUGCUUUGGAAACUGUAUGGCUGGAGUGCUGGAGAGGCAAGCGGAAUUCCUAAUGUAGCGGUGAAAUGCGUAAAUAUUAGAAAAACACCAGUGGCAAAAGCGGCUUGCUGGACCGUAACUGACGUUGAGGCUUGGAAAGCGGGGGGAGCAAACAGGAUUAGAUACCCUGGUAGUCCACGCUGUAAACGAUGAAUGCUAGGUGUUGGGGAGCAAAGCUUCUCGGUGCCGCCGCAAACGCAGUAAGCAUUCCACCUGGGGAGUACGUUCGCAAGAAUGAAACUCAAAGGAAUUGACGGGGACCCGCACAAGCGGUGGAGCAUGUGGUUUAAUUCGAAGCAACGCGAAGAACCUUACCAAGUCUUGACAUCCCGGUGACGCAUGCAGAAAUGUGUGUUCUCUUCGGAGCACUGGAGACAGGUGGUGCAUGGUUGUCGUCAGCUCGUGUCGUGAGAUGUUGGGUUAAGUCCCGCAACGAGCGCAACCCUUAUCCUUAGUAGCCAGCAGGUAAAGCUGGGCACUCUAGGGAGACUGCCAGGGAUAACCUGGAGGAAGGUGGGGAUGACGUCAAAUCAUCAUGCCCCUUAUGAUUUGGGCUACACACGUGCUACAAUGGCGUAAACAAAGGGAAGCGAAGUGGCGACAUGGAGCGAACCCCAAAAAUAACGUCUCAGUUCGGAUUGCAGGCUGCAACCCGCCUGCAUGAAGCCGGAAUCGCUAGUA
rnacentral:rRNA from 1 species